rnacentral:rRNA from 1 species
AGUGGGGAAUAUUGCACAAUGGGCGGAAGCCUGAUGCAGCGACGCCGCGUGGGGGAUGACGGCCUUCGGGUUGUAAACCUCUUUCAGUGCAGAACAAGGCUCUUUGUGGGUUGAGGGUAUGCGCAGAAGAAGCGCCGGCUAACUACGUGCCAGCAGCCGCGGUAAUACGUAGGGCGCGAGCGUUGUCCGGAUUUAUUGGGCGUAAAGAGCUCGUAGGCGGUUUGUCGCGUCUGCUGUGAAAUCCUCUGGCUUAACUGGGGGCGUGCAGUGGGUACGGGCAGACUGGAGUGCGGUAGGGGAGACUGGAAUUCCUGGUGUAGCGGUGGAAUGCGCAGAUAUCAGGAGGAACACCGGUGGCGAAGGCGGGUCUCUGGGCCGUUACUGACGCUGAGGAGCGAAAGCAUGGGGAGCGAACAGGAUUAGAUACCCUGGUAGUCCAUGCCGUAAACGUUGGGAACUAGGUGUGGGGUCCAUUCCACGGGUCCUGUGCCGUAGCUAACGCAUUAAGUUCCCCGCCUGGGGAGUACGGCCGCAAGGCUAAAACUCAAAGGAAUUGACGGGGGCCCGCACAAGCGGCGGAGCAUGCGGAUUAAUUCGAUGCAACGCGAAGAACCUUACCAAGGCUUGACAUGCAUUCGACGUCUCCAGAGAUGGGGGUUCCGUAAGGCGGGUGCACAGGUGGUGCAUGGUUGUCGUCAGCUCGUGUCGUGAGAUGUUGGGUUAAGUCCCGCAACGAGCGCAACCCUUGUUCCAUGUUGCCAGCGGGUGAUGCCGGGGACUCAUGGGAGACUGCCGGGGUCAACUCGGAGGAAGGUGGGGAUGACGUCAAAUCAUCAUGCCCCUUAUGUCUUGGGCUUCACGCAUGCUACAAUGGCCGGUACAAAGGGUUGCGAUCCUGUGAGGGGGAGCGAAUCCCAAAAAGCCGGUCUCAGUUCGGAUUGGGGUCUGCAACUCGACCCCAUGAAGUCGGAGUCGCUAGUAAUCGCAGAUCAGCAACGCUGCGGUGAAUACGUUCUCGGGCCUUGUACACACCGCCCGUCACGUCACGAAAGUCGGUAACACCCGAAGCCGGUGGCCUAACCCGUUCGCGGGGGGGAGUCGUCGAAGGUGGGACUGGUGAUUGGGACG